UACGGAGGGUGCAAGCGUUAUCCGGAUUCACUGGGUUUAAAGGGUGCGUAGGAGGGCAGGUAAGUCAGUGGUGAAAUCUCCGAGCUUAACUCGGAAACUGCCGUUGAUACUAUCUGUCUUGAAUACCGUGGAGGUGAGCGGAAUAUGUCAUGUAGCGGUGAAAUGCGUAGAUAUUGGGAGGAACACCAGUGGCGAAGGCGGCUCACUGGACCGGUACUGACGCUGAGGCGCGAAAGCGUGGGGAGCAAACAGG
rnacentral:rRNA from 1 species